GACGAACGCUGGCGGCGUGCUUAACACAUGCAAGUCGAACGAAGUGGCGAACGGGUGAGUAAUACGUGGGUAACCUGCCCUCCUUUUUGGGAUAAGCCUUGGAAACGGGGUCUAAUACCGAAUAAAGGGGGAUGGGCUCGCGUCCUUUCAGCUUUUUGGUGGGGUGAUGGCCUACCAAGGCGUUGACGGGUAGCCGGCCUGAGAGGGGGACCGGCCACAUUUGGACUGAGUGACGGCCCAGAGUCCUACGGGAGGCAGCAGUGGGGGAUAUUGCACAAUGGGAGAAAGCCCGAUGCAGCAACGCCGCGUGGGGGAUGAAGGCUUUCGGGUUGUAAACCAAUUUGGCUAUCGAACGGGUAGGUAGAGAAGAAGCGCCGGCUAACUACGAGCCAGCAGCCGCAGUAAUUC
rnacentral:rRNA from 1 species